rnacentral:rRNA from 1 species
AAAAACUCCGGUGGUGCAAGAUGGACCCGCGUCUGAUUAGCUGGUUGGCGGGGUAAAGGCCCACCAAGGCGACGAUCAGUAGCCGGCCUGAGAGGGUGGACGGCCACAUUGGGACUGAGACACGGCCCAAACUCCUACGGGAGGCAGCAGUGGGGGAUAUUGGACAAUGGGGGGAACCCUGAUCCAGCGACGCCGCGUGAGUGAAGAAGUAUUUCGGUAUGUAAAGCUCUGUCAGCAGGGAAGAAAGCAAUGACGGUACCUGACCAAGAAGCCCCGGCUAACUACGUGCCAGCAGCCGCGGUAAUACGUAGGGGGCAAGCGUUAUCCGGAAUUACUGGGUGUAAAGGGAGCGUAGACGGCUGUGCAAGUCUGGAGUGAAAGGCGGGGGCCCAACCCCCGGGCUGCUCUGGAAACUGUAUGGCUGGAGUGCAGGAGAGGUAAGCGGAAUUCCUAGUGUAGCGGUGAAAUGCGUAGAUAUUAGGAGGAACACCAGUGGCGAAGGCGGCUUACUGGACUGUAACUGACGUUGAGGCUCGAAAGCGUGGGGAGCAAACAGGAUUAGAUACCCUGGUAGUCCACGCCGUAAACGAUGAUUACUAGGUGUCGGUGGGUAUGGACCCAUCG